rnacentral:rRNA from 1 species
GACAGAGGCCUCAAGCGUUAGGCGGAAUCACUGGGCUUAAAGCGUGUGUAGGCGGAUCGUUAAGUGCCUUGUGAAAUCCCACGGCUUAACUGUGGAACGGCUGGGCAUACUGGCGGUCUUGAGCCAUCUAGGGGCGACUGGAACAAACGGUGGAGCGGUGAAAUGCGUAGAUAUCGGAAGGAACACCAGUGGCGAAAGCGGCUUCCUGGUCCAGCACCGACGUUCAGGCACGAAAGCGUGGGGAGCAAACAGG